CCUACGGGAGGCAGCAGUGGGGAAUAUUGCACAAUGGGGGAAACCCUGAUGCAGCAACGCCGCGUGAAGGAAGACGGUUUUCGGGUUUUAAACUUCUGUUCUUAGUGAAGAAUAAUGACGGUCGCUUAGGAUCAUGCCACGGCUAACUACGUGCCAGCAGCCGCGGUAAUACGGAGGUGGCAAGCGUUGUCCGGAAUUACUGGGUGUAAGGGGAGCGCAGGCGGGAAGCCAAGUCAGCUGUGAAAGCUACGGGCUUAACUUGUAGACUGCAGUUGAAACUGGUUUUCUUGAGUGAAGUAGAGGUAGGCGGAAUUCCGGGUGUAGCGGUGAAAUGCGUAGAUAUUAGGAGGAACACCGGUGGCGAAGGCGGCCAACUGGGCUGUAACUGACGCUGAGGCUCGAAAGUGUGGGGAGCAAACAGGAUUAGAUACCCGAGUAGUC
rnacentral:rRNA from 1 species